CGGGUGAGUAACACGUGGAUAACCUACCUAUAAGACUGGGAUAACUUCGUGAAACCGGAGCUAAUACCGGAUAAUAUAUUGAACCGCAUGGUUCAAUAGUGAAAGACGGUUUUGCUGUCACUUAUAGAUGGAUCCGCGCCGCAUUAGCUAGUUGGUAAGGUAACAGCUUACCAAGGCAACGAUGCGUAGCCGACCUGAGAGGGUGAUCGGCCACACUGGAACUGAGACACGGUCCAG
rnacentral:rRNA from 1 species